rnacentral:sRNA from 1 species
GCCGGGUGUGGUGGUGUAUGCCUGUAAUCCCAGUGGCUCGGGAGGCAGAGGCAGGAGGAUCACAAGUUCAAAGCCAGCCUCAGCAACAGUGAGGCACUAAGCAACUCAGUGAGCCCUGUCUCUA